CACGUAGGGUGCGAGCGUUGUCCGGAAUUAUUGGGCGUAAAGAGCUCGUAGGCGGUGUGUCGCGUCGGCCGUGAAAACCUGCAGCUUAACUGUGGGCGUGCGGUCGAUACGAGCAUCACUGGAGUUCGGCAGGGGAGACUGGAAUUCCUGGUGUAGCGGUGAAAUGCGCAGAUAUCAGGAGGAACACCGGUGGCGAAGGCGGGUCUCUGGGCCGAUACUGACGCUGAGGAGCGAAAGCGUGGGGAGCGAACAGG
rnacentral:rRNA from 1 species